rnacentral:rRNA from 1 species
AGUGAACGCUGGCGGCGUGCUUAACACAUGCAAGUCGAACGGGAUCUUCGGAUCUAGUGGCGGACGGGUGAGUAACGCGUGGGAACAUCCCUUUCAGUUCGGAAUAACGUUGGGAAACUAACGCUAAUACCGGAUACGUCCUUCGGGAGAAAGAUUUAUCGCUGAAAGAUUGGCCCGCGUCUGAUUAGCUAGUUGGUGAGGUAAUGGCUCACCAAGGCUACGAUCAGUAGCUGAUCUGAGAGGAUGAUCAGCCACAUUGGGACUGAGACACGGCCCAAACUCCUACGGGAGGCAGCAGUGGGGAAUAUUGGACAAUGGGCGCAAGCCUGAUCCAGCCAUGCCGCGUGAGUGAUGACGGCCUUCGGGUUGUAAAGCUCUUUUGUCCGGGAAGAUAAUGACUGUACCGGAAGAAUAAGCCCCGGCAAACUUCGUGCCAGCAGCCGCGGUAA